rnacentral:tRNA from 1 species
GUGACUUAGUGGUAAAGCACUUGCCUUGCAUGCAUGAGGCCCUGAGUUCAAUUCCUCAGC